GAUGAACGCUAGCGGCAGGCUUAAUACAUGCAAGUCGAGGGGCAGCGGGAGUAGCAAUACUUGCCGGCGACCGGCGCACGGGUGCGUAACACGUAUGUAAUCUGCCCAUCACAGGAGGAUAGCCCGGAGAAAUUCGGAUUAAUACUCCAUAAUAGAAGAUAAAGCAUUUUAUUUCUUGAAAGUUCCGACGGUGAUGGAUGAACAUGCGACUGAUUAGUUUGUUGGUGAGGUAACGGCUCACCAAGACUACGAUCAGUAGGGGUACUGAGAGGUUAAACCCCCACACUGGUACUGAGACACGGACCAGACUCCUACGGGAGGCAGCAGUUAAGGAAUAUUCGAGAAUGCGCAAGCUGAUCCAGCCAUG
rnacentral:rRNA from 1 species